ACGAACGCUGGCGGCGUGCUUAACACAUGCAAGUCGAACGGGAGGAAAAGAGAAGCUUGCUUCUUUUUGAAUCUAGUGGCAAACGGGUGAGUAACACGUAAACAACCUGCCUUCAGGAUGGGGACAACAGACGGAAACGACUGCUAAUACCGAAUGUGUUCCGGAGACCGCAUGAUUUCCGGAAGAAAGGAUGGCCUCUAUUUAUAAGCUAUCGCCUGAAGAGGGGUUUGCGUCUGAUUAGGCAGUUGGUGAGGUAACGGCCCACCAAACCUACGAUCAGUAGCCGGUCUGAGAGGAUGAACGGCCACACUGGAACUGAGACACGGUCCAGACUCCUACGGGAGGCAGCAGUGGGGAAUCUUCCGCAAUGGACGAAAGUCUGACGGAGCAACGCCGCGUGAGUGAUGACGGCCUUCGGGUUGUAAAGCUCUGUGAUCGGGGACGAAUGGCUGGUAUGCUAAUACCAUAUCAGAGUGACGGUACCCGAAUAGCAAGCCACGGCUAACUACGUGCCAGCAGCCGCGGUAAUACGUAGGUGGCAAGCGUUGUCCGGAAUUAUUGGGCGUAAAGCGCGCGCAGGCGGCUUCUUAAGUCCAUCUUAAAAGUGCGGGGCUUAACCCCGUGAUGGGAUGGAAACUGGGAGGCUGGAGUAUCGGAGAGGAAAGUGGAAUUCCUAGUGUAGCGGUGAAAUGCGUAGAGAUUAGGAAGAACACCGGUGGCGAAGGCGACUUUCUGGACGACAACUGACGC
rnacentral:rRNA from 1 species